CUCCGCGGCCAAAAAUAACUGCCCGAAGGCCGGGGCGCCAAGUUCGUCCAGCGGAAAAAGGCCACAAAAACGGGUGGGCUAUAGCCUUGGGGGGUGGGGCUGGCCGACUUCAUCCGUCGGACUCUGAAUGCCGCGAGACUUUACGAGGGGCCUCUUUGUGCCAAAAAUAGGCUGCGGGCAAAGCCACGCCCAAAAAUAACCGCCCGAAGGCCGGGGCGCCAAGUUCGUCCAGCGGAAAAAGGCCACAAAAACGGGUGGGCUAUAGCCUUGGGGGGUGGGGCAGGCCAACUUCGUCUGCCGGACUCGGAAUGCCGCGAGACUUUGCGGGAGGCCUCCGUUCGCCAAAAAUAGGCCGCGGACAAAACCGCGCCCAAAAAUAACCACCUGAAGGCCGGGGCGCCAAUUCGUCCAACGGAAAAAGGCCACAAAAACGGUUGGGCUAUAGCCUUGGGGGGUGGGGCUGGCCAACUUCGUCCGCCGGACUCGGAAUGCCCCGAGACUUUUCGAGCGGCCUCCGUGUACCAAAAGUAGGCCGUGGGCAAAUCCGCGCCCAAAAAUAACCGCCCGAAGGCCGGGGCGCCAAGUUCGUCCAGCGGAAAAAGCUCGCAAACAUGUGUGGGCUAUAGCCUUGGGGGGUGGGGCUGGCCAACUUCGUCCGCCGGACUCGGAAUGCCGCGAGACUUUGCG
rnacentral:lncRNA from 1 species